CAGAGAAAGAGUAGAGAGUAGAGAGAGAGAGGGAGAUGCAGAAUCCAAAGCAGGCUCAUGAACUGUGAGAUCAUGACCUGAGAUGAAGUCGGAUGUUUAACUGACUGAGCCACCCAUGUGCCCCUAAACUGUUGUAAUGAGAUAAUUUAUAUGCCACUAAAUUUACCUGCAUUAGCAUACAAUUUAGUGGUUUUUAGUGUACUUUCAAAGUUGUGUAGUAAUUGCAAUGAUUUAAUUUUAGGAUGUUUUGAUUUUUUUUAAAGCAGUUGAAAAGUGAACUAUAUUGACUGAAUUGAUUAGAAAUGGAAAGGUAUUUAUCUAAUCAUUUCUGAAGGCUUGAAGGCAGUAGGAGCAUUCAAGAUAGUAUUUUUGUUUUACAUGUUGAUGGACUUAACAGUAGAACAUUGAUUUGUAGAAACUCAAAAAUGAAGUUGUAAUUGCUCUGUGCUUUUUCUUUAUGGUCUUUCCUUGUCUUUAUCCUUUGUGGACCAAUCUUUAUAUUACUUUAGACAUGCUAAAGAGCUUUCUUCUGUAUAGAGGCUUACUGCUAAAAAAAAAAAAAUGGUUUCAGUAUUACCUUAAGCUUCAUCAUAGCUGGUCAAAUACUUGAGUCUUCCUAUGGCACACAUUAUUUUCUGACAUUUCAACUUUUUAUAUUUAUAAUUAUAGAGCAUAACAUGUGAGCUGUUGCUUUUUUCUGUAAUGUAUUUCGAACCAGUGAGAUACUACUUUACUAAAUUAAUUUUCUUUAAGAUGGUUAGAAAAUUUCUCUGUCCAGCAUAAAAACUUUCAUUUAAAGAAAAACAUAUUUAAAAGUUUUAAAGCAAGAAAUAAUGAGAAUCACAAAGAGGAAGCUCACUUUAGUGAUGUGUCAUAAUGCAUCCUGAAAUUAGUUGCCUGGGUUUGCUACUCAGGUCCCCAUAACUUUUAGAAGUUGUUUCCUUUAUCAGUAAAGUGGAAAUAGUAAUAGUGCUUACCUUGUACAGACAGAGUGGUGAAGAUUAAAUGAGAUAAGUCAUAUAAAACACUUUAGUAUAGAAUCUGGCACAUGGUAAGAACUUGAUAUAUGUUGGCUGUUACUCUUUAACCACAGUAAAUUCAAAGAACUUUUUCACUUUAAAACACCAUAUGUUACUGUGAUUACUUUUUAUUCUUAACUGUAUUACGUGUAUUGUGACAGAGGAAAACCGUGAUGAUAUUUGAGGGAAGAGUUAUCCAGGCAGAGGCAAUAGCAAACGUGAAGGUGAGAAAGCUGUGGCAAGGAGGCCAAGUGGCGAGAGUGGUGAGAGUAUGCUGGAGUGUAGCAAUGAGGUCGUAAGUAAAAGAGGGGUAGAUUUGUGUAGGGCCUUGCAGGUCUAGUAAGCACUAAAACUUAGGUGCUUCUUCUGGGUGAGGUGGGAGCCAUUGGAAGUCUCUGAGCAGAGGUGUGACAUGACCUUACUGGUGUUUUAGGCUCCCUGGGCUGCUGUGUGGAGAAGAAACUAUAGAGGGGCAAAGGCUGGGUUACUGACAUUUUACACUAGGGGUGUGUGUGCACGUAUGUGUAGGUGUGUAAAAGAUGAAGUAUUAUUUAAAAAUUACUAAAAAUAUUUAAAAUUAUUUAAAAGUAUUAGUAAGUGGUGGUCUCAGGGUGUUGGAGUUAGCUGUGAAUGAUUUCAUUUUCUUUAUACUUCUGUUUUCCAAACGAUUUUAAAGAGUACUUUUGUAAUUAUAAAUGUAACUGUUACCAUUUUCUUUAAGUAGAGCUGUGAUAAUAACAAAAAAUUAUGCUAUAUAUUAGGUUUUUUUAUUAUAAGGACAUGCUUCCAUAUUAAGUACAGUAUCAUAGGUACUGUUACUAAAAUUUUUUAAAUGUGCCAUCAGAGAGACUAAAUGUUCAUAAUGUAUCUAUUGAAUAUAAUGAGGCAUCAGGAAUUUAGAAUAAAUGACCUAACUAAAUUAGUAAAAGGUGAGAAUUAGACUAUAGAACAUUUUACAUAUAACUCAGUUAUCUUAAAUAACUAAAAUGAAACUAUGUAUUAACAGUAGAGAUACUGUUUUAAAGAACUUACAAAUGAUUAUCAUUAUAACAGUCCAGUAGCCUUAUUACUAUUACUGAUGGUUUCCUUUUGCAGUGGAGUUUGGUAUGUUACUAUUUUUGAAGUCUUAAACUCUUGUUUAAAUGAUUGCAUUUAGGUACUAUUUUUAAUAGACUAGAAUGCCAUUCUGGGAUCUCUAAUUAGUUUUGUUUUCCUGCAUUCCCUCACUUGCUGUCCUUUUGCCUAAUCCAUACUCUCGGAACCCUAACCACCAGUCUUCCCCACCUUAAGUAAAUUUCUACAUAACCGUCAGAGCUCCACUCAAGUACAAAAGGAAGGAGUCUUUCCUGAAUCUUUAACAUAGUGAGGUCCUUAAAUCACUCUCCUACUGGGUUCUAAUUCUUGUUACCACACAUUCCAAUUCUAAUAAAAUAAUUGUAUAAUUUUAUAGUCUCCUCUGUUGGAAUAUCAACACCACAAAGACAGGAAUUAUAGCUCUCUCGUUUAGAGAUUAUUUCCCUAGUACAGGAUGAGUGGAUGCAUGAGCAAACUCCAUAACUACCAAACUUCUUUUAGAUGUCAUUUGGAAGUCUGGUGCAGAUUUUCGUGCUAUUCUUCCUCCCAUGUCACACUGUCCACCCCCUCGUGUGUUUUAGUUAUAAGUUACUAAGUAUAGUAGAAGUUAUAAAUAAAAAUAGCAAACUUCAGUGUUUUUACAAGUAAAAAUCUUUAUACACCAUUUCCAGCAGUAUAAAAGGAUAGCUUAUUGUAAAUUUUUGUUUAUAGAUGACCUUUUUGAAUGUAUAAUUUAUUAAUGUAGACAGCAUUACCAAAGAGAAAUUAUAUCAGAAUUUAAAUCAGUAUGUAUAAUCUCAAGUUGUUGGGGUUUUUGUUUUGUUUUGUUUUGUUUUUAGCUUUAAGCAUAAAGCAUUUUUCUGAAAUUCACCUUUUCUCCUUGUAUGAUGGGUUUUACUGGUAUAUGUUGUGUGCUUCUUUAUUGAAAAGAAGUGUUCAGUAUGCUUACUAGAGACUCGUUAAAAUUCUUUACAGUUUUUCACUGGUGAUAUAGGGGAGGAGAAAAACAGCUUUGUGGUAUUGCUGCCACACUUUUUUAACCUCUGGAAAUUAUGACAUAUCACAUUAGUAUAGCCUGACUUCUUGUUGAAAACAAAGUAUGAAGAAGUCUGGCGUAUUGACAACCUAUUCACGUAGCUGUGAUCCUUAAGGCUUAAUUUUGGGUGAUGUGAUUUCUUUCUUGAAGGCAAUAUAUUUCCAGAGAAUUCAAGAUUAACUACUUGUAUUUUUUUUAUGUCUAUCUCAGUUCUUUAAAAAAAUCUUUAUGAUCACUUUUGUUUUCUUGGAGAGUAUUUUAUUUCUUGCUCCUAGGGGAUUUUUAAAGUUUUUAAACAACAAAACACAGAUCUCUAAAAUGUUUCUCCUACAUUAAACAGAUAUGAAGAACUUCCAGACAGAAAGAAAGUUCUCUUUUGUUCUUUGGCUGGUGGUUUCCCACUUCUACUCCAAUCCCUGUGUUAGAUGUCACUUUUCUUUGGGGCUGCAGCUUUGUUUUUACGUUCUUCCUCUCUGGAGGGACAUACGGUAUAUGCAAAACUAUAUGUUACAUUACAUAUGUCAUAUAUAUAUCAUCAUGAUAAGGAAAACUUUGGGUAUACGCUUGAAUACUAGUGGGCGCAUUACAUCAGAGUCACACUUUUGUUGUGUUAAGUGGCACAUCUUAACAAAGCACUUAUUAAUAGUUUUCUCUCUGAAUUACUUUCUUGUUCCAUCUUUGCCUCUAGCCCAUUUAAGUCCAGGUUUUCUUUCUCAGUUCCUUUAUCACCUUUUGUCUCUUUUCUCCAGUUCUGCCUCUGAAGCUGGCAUAUAACAUCUGUUAGUGACCCUAAAGCUAUUCCUUGCUUUCUGUACUUCCCUAGGUGACUUCUCUCUGGAUAACUAUGUUGGAUGCCUACACUUGUCCUAAUCUUUAUAGUUAAUCAUCACUUUCUCACCUCUCCUUCUAGUCAUUACUCUAGACCACUCUCUGCAUUGGUCUAUUACAUGUACAUCUUUAAACUUGUAUUAAGUGUGGGUCAUCCAGUCUAACGCAAGACACAACUAACUUCCAGUAAAUUGUGAAGAGAAGUAUUUCCUUACAGCACUCAUGUUAAUAGAAUACAAGAUGUUUAUAGCAGAUAAUUCAGAAUCUCCUAGUUUGUCUCUCUGAAUUUUUUCUCCAUCUCUUUUUUGUUGUUGUUUGCUCUUGUUCUUAUCCUUUCCACCUUUUACCUUUUUUUUUCACUGUCUUCCUGUCCUCAGUAUAAAAGAAAAAAAUUUACCUAGGUAAUUUGUUAAAACUUUAUGUCUGCUUUUCUUACAUUUAGAAUCUGAGAAGUUGACAGGUUUAUAUUUCUUUAUCAGGUUGUUUGAAAGCCUAACGAGGUUGUUUAAGAAAAGAUAUAAUGAGCCUUUGCUAUGAAAAAGAUUAUGUAAAAUCAUUUAAUAAUGUACCGUAGGGAAGGUGUGAGUCAACAGGCAAGUUUAACAGAAGGAAACGGUUGUGCUAGGCUGAUUACUUGGUUGCUUUGGUCUCCAGAUACAAUUCCAACCUGUUGAAGAUGGGGAGGAAUGAUGCUAAAAGGACACUUUAGGAUUCCUAACUCCUGAAGUGAGUUGUAAAAUGUUGUGAAUUCACUAAAGUUUCACCCUGUUUGGAAAGAAGUACAGCUUUUGUCUUACUUUAUUUGAAUAAUAGAAUAAGUUCUCCAGCGUUGUUUAAAUUCACUUUUUAAAAGUAACUUGGAAUGUGUAUUCCGGCAUUGGCAGCCCAGUGUGAAAAACUUAGAUGUUGCUCAGAAAACUGCUUUCCUGGAUGAAGACAGUGAGCUGUUAGGGACUAUACUCACAACCCAGCUAGAAAAGUCAGUUUUAGAGGAUGCCAGUGCUACAGUGUAUUUGCUGCUUGAUUAUGUAGCUCAUGUUACACGUGUUUAAUCUUUGUGAUGACUUAAAGAGAUGAAUGGGCUUUGGAGUGAUUGUGGCAGAUUGAAAAACAAAACAAAACUUUAUAUUUUGGACUAGUGUAUUUUGGCUGUUUUGUAUGGUUGCUCAUCCCUUGAAUUCCAAAUACAAUACUGUUACAUUCAGUAAUCUUAAAUAAUGAAAUCUUGUUUGCUACUGUCAUUCAUGUUCUUUUUUAAAACUUAAAACUAUAAUCAAUCGAUUUUAAUUUUAAUGCAAACAUAUGAUACAAGGGUCAUCACAAAACCAGCAGGAGGAUUAUUGAAGAGAUGGUAAUAGUGCAUUUGCUUAGCUGUUUGAAUGAGGGGGUAAUAAAUUUAGAGCCUCAACAGCAAGUUAUGAGAACAAUUACAGAUGAAUAAAUGGUUCAGUGAAAAAAAGGUGAGAUGAUUAAAAAAAAAAAAAAACUAGAACAAGAUAGAAAUGAACUUUUGUCAGAGGGGAAGAUUUUUUUCUCUUAGAAGUAGUAGAAAACAUCUCAAUACAAACGAGAUUUUACUACUUAAAAUGAAAAACAAAAACACCUUUAGGUAUUAACUUUCUUACCUAUACCUUUAAGUCCAAAUUAAAAGACCAAUCAGAACAGAAUAAAAUUUUUAUGGUUACACUGCCAUCAAAAAUUUUUAAAGAGAGUAUGUCAUUACAUAAAUACUUUUGAUAGAACAUGAGUGGGAGACAAAAAUUACGGUAUAGUCACACAGUUUCAUACAGGCAAACAUACACACUGCAUGCACCUGCACACACAACUGUAAUUUUAGAAAAAGAAAAUAGAAUAAAAACACACCAAAAUCUUGUCUUUCAGUAAUGUUGGGAUUGAUGAUAUGGAUAAUUUUCAAAAUAAUUUUAUAUUUUUUCUGAAAUAAACAAUUUACUUUUAAAAAUAUUUCUUGUAAAAUUGCAUACAGAUUAAGUUUAACACUUCCUAAUUCGUUUCCAGCUUGACUUUCCAGCUUAUCUUCUCUGCCCUCCUUUCUCUGACAUCCAUGGACUAGCACAGGGCUUUUUAUAAAAUUUUACAAAAAUUAUGAUGUGAAUGCCUCGAACUUGUUCCAUUUCACUACAUGACCCGCCACGUCUUAUCUGUAUUAGGUCCAGCUGUAUCACACGUUUAGGGUUUUUGCCCAUCCCUGAAGGGUAUCCUUGCCUUGCACCCCUUGCCUGAUAGGUGUUUUAGAGGAUAUAAUGUUCUCUUAAAGGUCUGAGGUAUAGUCGUCUAUCUUUUCCCCUUGGCUUUGGCUUACCUUUUAGCAGUAAUGCUUACUUCUUCCCUUUGCAUAUUUGAAGACAAGUUUCAAGACCAUGAUUAGGUCACCCCAGUUUAUUAUAUUCCUUCCAGUGUCUUGUCAACCCAUUUUACCUUGUACUUUCAGUACAGCACUUAUCAUAGUUUGCACGUACUGUUUUUUCUACUGUGUAUGUCUUUCCCAGUUGAUGUGGAGCCCCUGAUGGGUAGCAGCCAUGUCUUACUCAUCUUUGUAUCUCCCACAGUGCUAUGUUAGCAAAUAUUUAUAGUCUUGUGUUGGUUUUAAAUAAUGAUUUGUCACAGUUUGAAUCACGAGUCAGAAAGAUGUUUUAGUCCAUUUCUAUCCAUAUACAUUUCUUCUUGUUUGAUAUAUAAUCUUAAUGCACCAUCUUUUUAAAAAAGAACAUUUAUAUUCUAUAUCAUAAAAGCAAAGGGUAUUAAAAAUAGAAAACUUAAAAAACAAAAUAACUUCUUUCCACCAUCUGUAUGAAACAUAUGUUUCUUUCUUUUUUUCCUAUAAGUAAUUUUUUUGUUUGUUUUGGCCUCUCUUAAAUCAUAUUGUAUGGUGUCUCUCUCAGUAUUCAUUCAUUAUAAUCAUUCGUUUAUUCACCUAAUAUUAAGUGCUUAAUAUUAGGCAAGUAGUCUGGCAGUAAACAAAUUAAUCAAAAAGGUCUGCUUUCAUAAAGCUCGCAUUGUAGUGGAGGGAGACAUAAUUAGCAUAAAAUUAAAAAUAUAUAUGCUAUGUGACAUAGUGGUAAAUUCUCCAAAGAAAAGCAAAGCAGGAAAAAGACCGAGUUGUAUGUCCGGGAGAGGAUUACAGUUUUAAAUAGGUUUGUCAUGGAACCCUCACCAAGGUAGUAUUUGAAUAAAGACCUGAAUUAUAGAGUGAGUCAUGUGGAUAUUGGAAGACAAAGCCUUCAUUUAUAAUGGUGUGACCUAAAUGUUCAACAGUAAGAGAAUGCUUAUUAUUAAUUAUAAAUUACUAUCAAGAUUUUUAUAUAGCCAUAAAAGAUUCUGUUUUCAGUUAAUGUAUAAGGACUUGGGAAAAUGCCCACCAUGCAGUGUUAAAUGAAAAAGGAAAAAUAAACUAGUCUCACCCUAAUUUAAAAAAGAUCUUACACACAUGGGUAUGUACAAAUGUAUGAAUGUAGUUAGAAGAAAACACAGCAGAAUUUAGCAGAAAUUCUUUGCUGGAUGUGGUCUUGGGUUGUUUUGUUUUUUUUUCAUUUUUAUAUUCAUCAAUUUUUUAAUAUGUUAAUAUAAUCUUAAAAAGUACUUAAAAAUUAAUUUUGAUAUAUCUUAACUUCCAGAUCCUGCCAUAAUGGGGUAAUGAGUAUUGGAUUUAUCCUGUCUCCAUAAUCAACCAUAAAACUGGAUAAAAUACAUGUAGCAACUGAGGUUUUCUUAGCAUUAGAUAGCAGAGCAUAGGACAGUGAUCCUUGAGAGAAGGAAAACCCAAGAGGUAAUCAGCCUGGCAGUGCAUUGCCCCAGCUCUGGUUUCCAAAUGGGCUUUUCGCAAAGUGGGGACACUGUGUUUUUUCUGUUGUAGAUUUAAAACCGAAGAGACUAAUGAUGUGAAAUCGUGGUCAGUGAAUUGCUGAAAGAUCCCUUAGGACCAGUCUCUGUAGGGAAGGUAUAAGGAAAGAUAAGAUUAAGCGUCAGUCAUAACUGUACAAGGGAGGAAGGCAGAAGAAACCAGGAAUAUUAGAUCUCUUAAUAUUUGAAUAAUUGUGAGGAUUAAACUCUUAUGCUGUUGCUUCUAUGUAAUGUUGUUGGCUUAUUACUGGAGAAAUAAUAAAAAUGAAAGAAAACUAUGACAGGUUGAUUUGGUUGAGUAAAAGAAUAUUGAUUAUUAUCAUUUAUAUGAGAUAUUUAACUUUUGUGCCUGAAUACUUUGCCACACAAAAAACAAUUGUACAUAUCAUUACAUUUGUAUUAAAGUUAUAAAUCAGUCUUAAUAUCAUGUAAUUCAGUUAGUGUGUACUCAGGCAAUUAAUUGGUGUUCAAGUUGUAUGGACAUUGACUCAUAAGUUAAAAUGCUUAGCGGAAAAGAUAAAGCAUUUGCUUUAGAAUAGUGCAUGCAUUCACUUACGACAUCAAGAGGAAGCAAUCACACAAAUCCCAGAGUAUGUGAGAUUCUCAAGUCAACUGUACUGGACUCCAAAGUUACAAGAGACAUUCAAAGUGCAUGAACUUGUAUUUGAUCUGUUUCUCAGGUAAAAGCUCUUUAAGACAUUCUUGUGAUAAUUAGGGAAAAUGUGAAUGUGGGCUGCGUGCUAUAUUGUGAAAUUGUUAAUUUUCUUAGGUGAUAUAAUGGAAUUGUUAUUGAGAAUUUGUUUCUUCUUAGGAAAUGCAUGUCAAACUAUUUAGGGUUCAAAUGUCUUAAUGUCUGCAACUUUUAUAUGCUACAGCAAAAUACAUGUGUUAAGUAUUUCUGUGUAUGUAGAAAGAGGAAAUAAACUGGCAAAUAAUUAUUCAAUCCAGGUAAA